GGAUAAGCUAAUAAGGGCGCACGGAGGAUGCCUAGGCGCUAGGAGCCGAAGAAGGACGUGGCGAACUACGAUAAUGCCUCGGGGAGUCGUAAGCAGGCUUCGAUCCGGGGAUGUCCGAAUGGGGAAACCCGGCUGCGGUAAUACGCAGUCACCUGUUGCUGAAUACAUAGGCAGCAUGGAGGCACACCCAGGGAACUGAAACAUCUAAGUACCUGGAGGAAAAGAAAACAAACGUGAUUCCGUCAGUAGCGGCGAGCGAACGCGGAAAAGCCCAAACCGAUCCCUUCGGGGAUCGGGGUUGUAGGACGUCGAUAUGGCAAAAGCAGGUUAGGCGAAGCGGUCUGGAAAGGCCGGCCACAGAAGGUAAAAGCCCUGUAACCGAAAGCUUGCGUAUGCCUAGACGGAUCCUGAGUACGGCGGGGCACGGGAAACCCCGUCGGAAUCCGGCAGGACCAUCUGCCAAGGCUAAAUACUCCCUAGCGACCGAUAGCGAAGCAGUACCGUGAGGGAAAGGUGAAAAGCACCCCGGGAGGGGAGUGAAAUAGAACCUGAAACCGUGCGCUUACAAAAAGUCAGAGGCCAUUAACGGCUGAUGGCGUGCCUUUUGUAGAAUGAACCGGCGAGUUACGUUCCCGUGCGAGGUUAAGCCGAAGAGGUGGAGCCGCAGCGAAAGCGAGUCUGAAUAGGGCGAAUCAGUACGUGGACGUAGACCCGAAACCGUGUGAUCUACCCCUGCCCAGGGUGAAGGUGCGGUAACACGCACUGGAGGCCCGAACCCACGAGCGUUGAAAAGCUCGGGGAUGAGGUGGGGGUAGCGGAGAAAUUCCAAUCGAACUCGGAGAUAGCUGGUUCUCCCCGAAAUAGCUUUAGGGCUAGCCUCGGAAAUGAGUCGCGGAGGUAGAGCACUGAUUGGGUGCGGGGCCCGCCAAGGGUUACCAAGUCCAGUCAAACUCCGAAUGCCGCAAACUUGAAUUCCGGGAGUCAGACGGCGAGUGCUAAGAUCCGUCGUCAAGAGGGAAAGAGCCCAGAUCAUCAGCUAAGGUCCCCAAGUGCGUGUUAAGUGGGAAAGGAUGUGGAGUUGCACAGACAACCAGGAUGUUGGCUUAGAAGCAGCCACCAUUUAAAGAGUGCGUAAUAGCUCACUGGUCGAGUGACUCUGCGCCGAAAAUGUAACGGGGCUAAACACGCCACCGAAGCUAUGGCUCGUACAACUUGUUGUACUUGGGUAGGGGAGCGUUGU
rnacentral:rRNA from 1 species